rnacentral:lncRNA from 1 species
AUUCAAUGGAGAAAGAGUAUAUUAAUGGUAUUGAACUCUGAUGUGUCAUUUUAUUUGUAUAUCUCAGAGUCCUCUAAGAAGAAAAUCAUUAUCUCUGUUUCAUAGGUUGUGAGAUGAAGGCAUAGAGAGUUACCUUACAGUGGUAUAUUGAAGAAUAUGAAGUCAGGAGCAGAACUGGGAGGAAACUCUAGAUCUCUUAAACUCCAGCUCAGCACAAGAGAAAAGAAAAGCUUUACCAUCUGAUGAUAAGGAGCUAUCAAGCUGUUUCCUGCCUUUGAGUGCUAGUCCACAUACGCAUUCAGACGCAACCAGGAAAACAAGAUCCAAAACAAAAAGCAACCUCCAGCAGCUUAAAGUGAAGGGGUGGAAGGAGCUUCCAAAUUUGUAUUUGUUAUUAGAAAGGUAAUCUUCGAUGAGCAUAGUUGUAGGAACAUGCCCAUCUCUGCCAUGGAGGUGAGCAUUUACUGUGCUGUGGAUAAGUCUAGAAAGUUAAACAACG